rfam:Beauveria bassiana D1-5 contig00134, whole genome shotgun sequence.
GCUCGCGUAGCUCAGUUGGUUAGAGCGUCGUACUAAUAUUGGGCAACUGUUCAAUCUAAGUAAUGCGAAGGUCGUAGGUUCAAUCCCUGCCGUGAGCA